GCCUACGGGAGGCAGCAGUAGGGAAUUUUCGUCAAUGGGCGCAAGCCUGAACGAGCAAUGCCACGUGAACAAGGAAGGUCUUCGGAUCGUAAAGUUCUGUUGAAGGGGAAAAAGAGCGGAGAGAGGAAAUGGUCUCCGAUUGAUAUUACCCUUCGAGGAAGUCACGGCUAACUACGUGCCAGCAGCCGCGGUAAUACGUAGGUGGCGAGCGUUAUCCGGAAUGAUUGGGCGUAAAGGGUGCGUAGGCGGCCUGCUAAGUCUGGAGUGAAAGGUACCGGCUCAACCGGUACAGGCUCUGGAAACUG
rnacentral:rRNA from 1 species